GAGGGUAUAGCUUAGUGGUAGAGUGUGUGCAUAGCAUGCAGGAGGUCCUGGGUUCAAUCCCUAGCACCUCCA
rnacentral:tRNA from 1 species